AUUGAACGCUGGCGGCAGGCCUAACACAUGCAAGUCGAGCGGAGCGGCGGACGGGUGAGUAAUGCCUAGGAAUCUGCAUGGUAGUGGGGGAUAACGUACGGAAACGGGCGCUAAUACCGCAUACUAUCAGAUGAGCCUCGGUCGGAUUAGCUAGUUGGUGGGGUAAAGGCCGACCAAGGCGACGAUCCGUAACUGGUCUGAGAGGAUGAUCAGGCACACGGGAACUGAGAAACGGUCCAGACGCCUACGGGAGUGAGCAGUGGGGAAUAUUGGACAAUGGGCGAAAGCCUGAUCCAGCCAUGCCGGGUGUGUGCAGAAGGUCUUCGGAUUGUAAAGCACUUUAAGUUGGGAGGCGUUACCAACAGAGUAAGCACCGGCUAACUUCGUGCCAGCAGCCGCGGUAAUUC
rnacentral:rRNA from 1 species